UACGGGGGGGGCAAGCGUUGUUCGGAAUUACUGGGCGUAAAGGGCUCGUAGGUGGCCAACUAAGUCAGACGUGAAAUCCCUCGGCUUAACCGGGGAACUGCGUCUGAUACUGGAUGGCUUGAGAUUGGGAGAGGGAUGCGGAAUUCCAGGUGUAGCGGUGAAAUGCGCAGAUAUCAGGAGGAACACCGGUGGCGAAGGCGGGUCUCUGGGCCGUAACUGACGCUGAGGAGCGAAAGCAUGGGGAGCGAACAGG
rnacentral:rRNA from 1 species